rnacentral:tRNA from 1 species
GGACUGUGGCUCAGUGGUACAGCGCCUGCCUCGCAAGUGUGAGGCACUGGGUUCAAUCCUCAGCACCA